rnacentral:rRNA from 1 species
CAGACUCCUACGGGAGGCAGCAGUGGGGAAUAUUGCACAAUGGGCGCAAGCCUGAUGCAGCCAUGCCGCGUGUGUGAAGAAGGCCUUCGGGUUGUAAAGCACUUUCAGCGGGGAGGAAGGCG